UACGUAGGGACCAAGCGUUGUCCGGAAUUAUUGGGCGUAAAGAGCUCGUAGGCGGCUGUCCACGUCGGAUGUGAAAGCUCGGGCUCAACCCUGAGAGGCCAUUCGAUACGGGACGGCUAGAGGUAGGUAGGGGAGAUUGGAAUUCCUGGUGUAGCGGUGAAAUGCGCAGAUAUCAGGAGGAACACCGGUGGCGAAGGCGGAUCUCUGGGCCUUACCUGACGCUGAGGAGCGAAGGUGUGGGAGCGAACAGG
rnacentral:rRNA from 1 species